rnacentral:rRNA from 1 species
GCAUAUCAAUAAGCGGAGGAAAAGAAACCAACAGGGAUUGCCUCAGUAACGGCGAGUGAAGCGGCAAAAGCUCAAAUUUGAAAUCUAGCACCUUCGGUGUUCGAGUUGUAAUUUGAAGAUGGUAACCUUGGGUUUGGCUCUUGUCUAUGUUCCUUGGAACAGGACGUCAUAGAGGGUGAGAAUCCCGUCUGAUGAGAUGCCCAUUCCUAUGUAAGGUGCUAUCGAAGAGUCGAGUUGUUUGGGAAUGCAGCUCUAAGUGGGUGGUAAAUUCCAUCUAAAGCUAAAUAUUGGCGAGAGACCGAUAGCGAACAAGUACAGUGAUGGAAAGAUGAAAAGAACUUUGAAAAGAGAGUGACAAAAGUACGUGAAAUUGUUGACAAGGCGAAGGGCAUUAGAUCAGACUUGGUGUUUUACGAUUAUCUUCUCUUCUUGAGUUGUGCACUCGUAUUUCACUGGGCCAGCAUCGAUUCGGAUGGCAAGAUAAUGGCAGUUGAAUGUGGCUUCACUUCGGUGGAGUGUUAUAGCUUCUGCUGAUAUUGCCUGUCUGGAUCGAGGGCUGCGUC